UGUUUUUUAGAUUUGUUUUCAAAGAGUCUCAAGUAAAUAUUUACGAAUCGCACAUUUAAAAAAAAAAUAAAACAGAGAAAUGAGUAAUCAACCGUGACAUCUAAUUAGUACUGAAAGUAACAACAAUUUUGGAAGUAGUUGAGUAUGAUAUGUAAGAACCGUUUAAUGGUAAAUCAAGAAUUCAAACAACAGUUUGUACAACUGUGAAAAACAGCUAACGUUCUUGGCAAAUUAAAUUUAAUAAGUUUGAGCAUUAGCGAAGCAAGCAUUAAUUUGAAUGACUCUGGUGAAAUUAAAUUCAAGAGAUUCGUUCCUAAUCCCAAAUGUGGAGACAAAAUGUGGGAGUAAGAAAAAGAAAAUGCGGAGAAGGAAAUGUGUGAAGAAGAAAGUUUAAUUGUUUACUUUAAAAGUAUAUGAACUAAACAUUUAUUAAAAGUAUUAUUUAUGUUUAAACAUUAUAACAACAUGCUUCCAACAUAUUUAGAGCCGCAUUUUUUAGUGAAUCACAGAUACUUAAGAAGACACUCCAUUGACACUUUUUAUAUUCCGUGAACACCACUUAAAAAAUUCAGGGUACUCAUUUAUUUAUCGGGGUUUACAUCUGUGGAACUUGAUCCUGAAUAAUGACAUAAAAUCUAUAACUACAAUUAAAGCAUUUUAAAAA
rnacentral:misc_RNA from 1 species